rnacentral:lncRNA from 1 species
CUGAGCCCCGAGGAAUCCCUAGGAUAAAACACAGAUCAAGACUGUGGAUCAGCAGCAGCCUCACCCCAGUAGCAACAGGCCCAGCCACCAUGCCAGACACACCAGUGGAGGAGUCCCUCUUCCAAAUCAUCCACUGCUACCAUGAGUAUGCUGCCCGGGAAGGGGAUACAGAGACACUGUCGCUGGAGGAGCUGAAGGCUCUGCUCAUGGACAACGUGCCCCGCUUCAUGGAGACCUUGGGCCGGAAGGAGCCGCACUACAUCACACAGUUGUUCCGGACGGCAGACAAGAACCAGGACAACCAGAUCUGCUUUGAGGAGUUCCUCUACAUCUUGGGCAAGCUGGUGAAGGACUACCACCUUCAGUACCACCGGCAGCUGUGUGCCCACUACUGUACCCGGCACAGCCUCUAUUAGGGGGAGCACGGGGCCUGCCUGGGGAGCAGGUGUGAC